rnacentral:rRNA from 1 species
ACUGACAUUAGAUACCCGGGUAGUCCCAGCCGUAAACUAUGCGCGUUAGGUGUAUCGGUGACCACGAGUUACCGAGGUGCCGAAGGGAAACCGUGAAACGUGCCGCCUGGGAAGUACGGUCGCAAGGCUGAAACUUAAAGGAAUUGGCGGGGAGCACCACAACAGGUGGAGCCUGCGGUUUAAUUGGACUCAACGCCGGGAAGCUCACCGGAUAGGACAGCAGAAUGAUUGCCGGGCUGAAGACCCUGCAUGACUAGCUG